rnacentral:tRNA from 1 species
UAAUUUAUGUCAGCCACCCCAGUA